rnacentral:lncRNA from 1 species
AGCAUCUCUGGGAUGCCAAGGCAAUACAAGUCCCCAAGUUUCUUAUCCCUACUAGUGCCUUGUGGAACAACACUGCAUUCCUUUUGCAAGAAACACAGACCCUGCGUUGAAUCCCUUGAGAAUGGAUCAUCUACAGAUGAUGGAGUCCCCUUCUGUCUGGAGACAGGAGAGUUCCAGACUAAGGUGCUAGCAUCUGUCAAAGCUGUGUCACAGGUAUAGCCCUCCAUGUUCCAGGCACUGGGGGACGGGGCAUGAUAUGGGGACACUGACAACUCUCCAUCCAGCAAAGGAACAGUUCCACAGUUCUCAGCAUAAUGACACUAACCAUGACCUGACUCUCUCCCACAUCUUAAACCUGUCACAGUAGUAAUUAAAUGACAACAGGAACACUUAACCCAUAGCAUGGUCUGGAGCAAUGGUGUUUUGAAAGCCUGUUGCUGAAGGCUAUUCAAGGAAGUAAUGUCUACCUGGAGCCUGCAGCAAACAGGGCUAAAGCCUCCACCCCACUGGCUGUGGCCCAAGGGCCAAUCAGAAUAACCCCUACCCUGUCUACCUGAGGUUAACAUGUAGGGUGGGGGUCCACUUCCCAAGCCCACAUGGUGGCGCUUCAGCCCCAGUUCAUAAGACCCCCUCCCCUGCUCCCCCUCUUCUCCCAGCCAUCACAACCCUGAGUCUUCCCAGGUGUGGGCCACUUCCUGAAAGUCUUCCUCAAGGGGAUCCUGAGAACCUGGUGGCAAAGCUUGUAGGCCCAGCACAAUGCAGUGACUUCUGUCAUGAGUCAGGCUCAAGUUAAUUCUGAAUCUUGACAUUCUAUUACCCAAAUCUGUCUUCCCUGAACUUGAGGUCAUUUGUUCCCUGCCAAGAACAAGGCAGAGCAUCAUCCACAAAGAGCAGCAGCAACACUGGCACAAGGGGGAAGAGGGGCUUCGGAGCUGUGGGAGAAUCAGCUGAACCGGCCUGUGGUGCUAGGGACACUAACAAGAGAGACAGUGGUGACAAGAGAUACCACAGUGGUAAGAUACCAGCGAGUGGAAGGGCUCACUGGGGGGUCCUGGAGUAGGUAUUAGGAGUCUGCAAUUCUGGGUCUGCCUCUGCCAUGAACACUGAGGAAUGUGGAUCAGGCCCUUGUCUCUGAAGAUUUCAGCUUGGUAAAGAUAUUGAGUCAGAGUUCCCAGGAGACUAUGCAAAUCUGACUUGGUAUUCUGUCUAAAGGCUCAGGUUCUGUGAUUACAGGGUACAAGAAAACCCAGCAGGAAAGGGUCCUUAUGGCCUCCACAUCUCAGAACCAGGACCCUGGGGAUCCAUGUCACUCCAUGUUCCUACUCUCACUGGGGGCCUGAGAUGAUCAGGGUGGAAGAGCAUAGAAAAGCACCCCAAGAGCUAAGGUGGUAGAGAUUCCAUGCCGAUCCACGCAUGCAGCUUCUGUUAAUCAUCCAUGGUUGAGGCAAGUGGUUAAGGCCUUUGGCUUUGGAAGCCAAAAAGAAGGCAAUGAAAAUGGGGCAGAGUUCAGAGCAGGGAAGCAGUCUCAGCAUGCAAUCCUGUGUGUGUCAAGGGUUGUCACAAAAGCAAGACUGAUUCAUGGUUCCAUUCAUUCCUCUGGCCAUUCACGCUUCACUCCUUUAGCUCUCCCCAGUGUCAUCAGCAGGUCAGGAUCUGGACAGGCAGGGCAGCCUUGAGGAAUAGUACACAGACCUGCAGGACAAGUGAAGGUUGCACAGUCUUCAAGAUGGGGCUGGGGUAUCCAGGAUGCCAGGAAUUCCAGAAGAGGACCACCAGCAAGCAGGUCCUGCCUCUUGCUCCUGGCAUUUCCUCCCUCUCAGUGGCCUUCCCUCAUCCCAGCCCGGCCUCUCAUAGGUACAGAUGGUGGCCCCAGAAUCAGCAUGGAUCCCAGAAAGGAAAGUCAGGCUGCAGAGCAAAGCCACAGCCAGCCCUCGAAGCAUGAGUAUGAGUGAGAAGUUCUGUCAACACAUACGGUAGAACUUUGACGUUCACCAUUGCCACCACCAACCCAGCCCUAGAAGACCAACACAGAUACCACACAGAGACACCUCAGGCCCUUCUGGAUCAUCCAUCAAUACAGUUCUCCUGUGUGACUGAGAGCAGGCCCCACACAUCAGCUCAUAACUGACUGUAGUUUUAGUUCCAAGAAGUCUAACGCCCUCUUCUGGCCUCCAUAGUUACUACACAUAUAUGGUGCAUAUAAACCCAUGAGACCUGAAACCUCAGGAAGCCACCUCUCACUCUGUGGGGAAGCCUCCAGCCUUUAUCUGAACACCUGGGCUCAGCUAUGCCCCCUUGAUACUGAGCUGAUAGAAACCUGGUACACACCUUCCUCCACCAGUGGAGAACUGAUGCCAACGUCUCUUCUAUGGAAGCCUUAGCAAGAAAUGAAGUCUCAGCCUGCAUCUGUUACUGCUCACUGGGGUCCCCUGAAGAAUAAAUGUGAUCCCAUACCACCACUGCCCAUGCCCACUCAGCACCGCAAAAUCCAGCACUUCCUCUCAAGGCUGCCAUCUGCACGUAGUUUACUUCUGUGAACUUUGCCUUCAACCCCCUUCCAACUGGGUAAGCCCUUUCCAUGUGACCUCACGCUUUCCUUUUCAAUAAAGCUACCAGUCACUCUGGUUUGGCGCACAUCCUCAAGUCCUCUCUGAACUAAGAUCUUCCCUUCAAAGAAGUCCUGAAGCACUAGAGGUUAAGUCUCUAACACCUGGGUUUGAGAUGUGGAACGAGCUCGCUCUUAUGCUUGCAGAAUAUAAUUUGACACAAGAAAUCUCAGAGAAUUACACUGUGGGACCUUGUGAAGACUUGUGGUGGGGUGCUUUCUACUGGAGAUGAACAGGAGGACAGAUGAGUUCAGCUUUGAACAUGAUUUUGAGAAAUACCCCGCAGGUGCGUAGGCUCACACCAUGAAGCCAAAGACAGAGUGUGUUGACAUAGGAGCCUGUAGUGUUGGAAGUCAAGAAAACAGCUUCCUGGAACACUUGGAGGAAGAAUAAAAUCAACAGAGGGCCUGUGCCUCAGAAGCAUGGAUGUCUAAGGACAUCUAAGGCCUAGUCCAGGGAGACUCUGAAGUAGACAGAGAAGAGGCAGCAGAUUUGGAGGUAGGGGUGCCUCGUGAGUCUGGGGAGGCCAAGUUCAAAAAAAGAGUGAGUGUGCCUGCGGGAGUGAGGAACACAGUACUGAACUAGAGAUAGUGAGCCCCGUGGGAUAAGCCUGGAGGAGUGAGCCACGCUGUUCGGAUCAGGCACAGAGAGGACAAUGGGAACAACAUGGGUGACGUUUAAGAACAUAAUCUAGGGCAGGAGAGGUGGCUCACCUGUGACUCCAGCUCCAGGGGCUCACCUGUGACUCCAGCUCCAGGGGUUCCUUGCCCCUCUGGCCUCUGCACUACCUGAACUUGUUGGUGACCAGACACACAGCCCCAUACAAUGUUUAUAGAGAACAUAAUCUGAAGUAAGACUAGUUUGUGAGAGAGUAAAGAACGGUGAGGCCAAAUCCAGAAGGUUUCCCAGAGAUGGUGGGGUAGGGGGAGGGCACUGCUCCCAAGCCUGAAGAAGACUUGCCAGUCUGAGGGAAAGCUAGGAAACCAAGCUGUGACUUUCCCACAUCCCAUAGACACACAGGAAGGAUGACUGUCUAGGGCCUUCCUCAUAUCCGGCAGGCGUUCUACAGAUUAAACUAAAGAUAUAGCAUGGGCUCUGAGGAUAGCUCAGCGGGUAAAGCACUUGACUUCCGAGUAUGAGGACUUGAGUUCAGAUCCGCAGAACCCAGGUAAAUUCAAACGCGUGUAAUCCCAUGUCCCUAUGGUGAUCUGGGAGAUGGAGACAGGAGACUGAGGGGAAGUUCGAAGACCAUAUAACUUGGCCUAUGCAGCCAGAAACAAGAAACUGUCAUAAACAAGGACAAAGCAAGGAUGGACACCCAAAGUUGUCCUCUGACAACACAGGUGCCGUGGCAUGCAUAUGCCAACACACACGCACACAUGCACAUGAGUUAAAAAAAUAAGUUAAAAGUUUAGAGCACAAAAAUGAUGGAACAGAAUACAAACACAAUGUGAUAGAGCCAAGACUUGAUUUUUCCUUAAAGAAAAAUCUUUAAAGACUAAUAAAAUUGGCAUCCAUCCAUGGGAAUGAUAGCAGGAAUGAGACCCCUCUUGAGACCCC